AUUUGUUUUAGAGAAGAAGAAAACGGCGGGUCUGGAAAGGACUCUGAUAUCAGAAAGCAGUAAGGUGUGAUCUUUGCUACCAUUUCGAACCUUGUGAUUUCCUUCUCUUCUUGUUCCAUUGUACUCUCUGCAAUACAGGUCAGUCCAUCCUUUAUAAUUUUGUUUUCUCGACUAUGCUUGUCAAAUAUCGCAACUUUGUCCAGAAAACAAAAUCUGUAAGUAGAUAUUUUCAUGUUGAGUCGAAUGCGAGCGGUAAUUCUUCUUCAUCUGUAGAUAAAAAAGUUGCAAUUUUCUGGGAUUUGGACAACAAACCCCCAAAUUCAUUCCCUCCUUACGAUGCUGCCGUGAAGCUUAAAUUGGCAGCAACUUCUUUUGGGUAUGUUAGGUAUAUGGUAGCUUAUGCCAAUCGUCAUGCAUUCAGGCAUGUGCCUCAGGUUGUUAGAGAGGAGAGGAAGGAGAGGAAGCUGUUGAAUCAAUUGGAAAAUAAGGGUGUUCUUAAGCCUGUAGAACCAUAUUUUUGUCGUGUUUGUGGUAGGAGGUUUUAUAACAAUGACAAACUUGUUAAUCAUUUUAAACAAAUCCACGAGCGUGAGCAGAAGAAGAGAUUGAAUCAGAUUGACUCUGCCAAAGGGAAGAGGAGGGUGAAUUUGGUGGCAAAGUAUUCGAUGAAGAUGAACAAGUAUAAGAAUGCUUCCAGGGACGUUUUGACCCCGAAAGUUGGGUAUGGUUUGGCAGAUGAGUUGAAACGUGCUGGGUUUUGGGUUAGAACCGAAUCGGAUAAGCCACAGGCAGCUGAUGUUGCACUGAGGGAUCACAUGGUGGAGAUGAUGGAUAGAAGGAAAGUUGAGUGUUUGAUGCUUGUGUCUGACGAUUCUGAUUUUGUGAAUGUCUUGAAGGAGGCUAAGUUAAGAUGCUUGAAAACAGUUGUUGUGGGGGAUAUAAAUGAUGGGGCUCUUAAAAGAGUUGCUGAUGCUGGAUUUUCUUGGAGAGAGAUUCUAAUGGGAAAGGCUAAGAAGGAAGCAGUGUCAGUUCUUGGCCAAUGGAAGGACCGUGAUGUUUUGAAGAAACUGGAAUGGACAUACAAGCCGGAGGUGGAUAACAAAUUAUACUAUUCAGAUGAUGGGCUAGAUGUUGAAAGUGAGGAUGAGGGUGCCGAUGAUAUAAUUGAUGGGGUUGGUGCUGAUAGGAUGCAGAAUGAAGAUGCUGGUGCAUGGUGGGAGCUACACUAAGAUGCUGACGUCUUUGCUUCACAAUCUUGUUGAAGAUUUCAAGUAGCCAGUAAACCGGCUUUAAAUAUAUUCUAUGCCACCAGUGAAGCAAGCAGGAAAACUGAAGAAGGAAUCUCAUCAUAAUCUAGUGCAACUGUUUGCUUCUUGUAAAGCUGCCUGUGUAAGGCAAACCUUGCAGGCAUGCCCGAGAUGGCUUCGACAAUCACCCUCUGAAGGUAUUGGCUCGGUGGUUUAGGUAUAUUGGCUCUGUGGUACUUCUCCAAAACCUCUCAAGCUCAAGUGCUGAGAUGCAGACAUGCUCAAGGAUAUUUCGAUGUUCGACAGGCUUGAAGCGUUGAAAAAGUGAACACACACACACACUGAUUCUAGGGCUUCCUUCUCUUUUUCUAUUUCAGCUUUCUAGCUUCAGGAUGUAUGCCUAACUUGUCUCACUUUCAUGAAGUUCUUGCCGUAGAAUAUAUUUCGACAGGCUUGAAGCAUUGAAAACUGAACAAACAUACCCAGAAGUUCUUUUGGCUUUCUGGCACUAGGGUGUCUGCCCAACUUUGUUUCAUUUUUGUGAUUCAUUCAUGUAAAGUAUUUUUUGUAUGGUUAACCUCAACCUGUGGAAUGAGGAAUGAGAAGCUUAAUAUACCAUGAGCAGUAAUGUCAAUACGGACAAUAAAUUUUCCUCCA